rfam:Vitrella brassicaformis CCMP3155 genome assembly, contig: scaffold113
GACAGUUUGGCCGAGUGGUUAAGGCGGUGGACUCGAAAUCCACUGGGGUUACCCGCGCAGGUUCGAAUCCUGCAGCUGUCG